UACAGAGGUGGCAAGCGUUGUUCGGAAUUACUGGGCGUAAAGGGCGCGUAGGCGGUCUUGUAAGUCUUGUGUGAAAUCCCUCGGCUUAACUGAGGAACUGCACGGGAUACUGCAUGACUUGAGAUCGGGAGAGGGAAGCGGAAUUCCGGGUGUAGUGGUGAAAUGCGUAGAUAUCGGGAGGAACACCGGUGGCGAAGGCGGGUCUCUGGGCCGAUACUGACGCUGAGGUGCGAGAGCGUGGGGAGCGAACCGG
rnacentral:rRNA from 1 species